rnacentral:rRNA from 1 species
GGAGGAAUACCGAUGGCGAAGGCAGCCAUCUGGCCUAAUACUGACGCUGAGGUACGAAAGCAUGGGGAGCAAACAGGGAUUAGAUACCCUGGUAGUCCAUGCCGUAAACGAUGUCUACUAGCCGUUGGGGCCCUUGAGGCUUUAGUGGCGCAGCUAACGCGAUAAGUAGACCGCCUGGGGGAGUACGGUCGCAAGACUAAAACUCAAAUGAAUUGACGGGGGCCCGCACAAGCGGUGGAGCAUGUGGUUUAAUUCGAUGCAACGCGAAGAACCUUACCUGGCCUUGACAUACAGAGAACUUUCCAGAGAUGGAUUGGUGCCUUCGGG